UGUACACCCUCUCUCCCUCCCUCUGCCGGUCCCCCUCUGUCCAUUGUCGUGUUUGGUCAGUUUUCUGUCAAAAUAACUUUUAUUGUCUGAGCCGCUCUGUCCUGCAGGGCUCCAAGAGCUUGGAAGACAAGCUGUUUUCCUCCAGCGAUCCCAUCAAUAAGAAGAAAAUGGGAAAUGAGCGCUGAUUUAUGGCUGAUUCUUCAUAACAAAUAGCACCAGUCUUCUGCAAGAAAGAAGAGCUAUGACAAAGUACAUGAAGAUGUCCCAAUGGAACAGACUUUGUGCUGUGAAAUCAGAGAAGGAAGCGUGAGUUCAGAGUUGGGAUCCACAGAACGUCAAACUCUGCAGUCUGGAUACAGUUGAAGAAAUGAAGAUGACCAUCCCAUCCUCACUCUGGGAAGAGAACGCUAACUCACCCGAUGAAUUCUGGGAGAACUGAAUUCAGAGAAAGAGUGGUUUUAGUUUGACGAGAUGCAAAUGCAAGGCAUGACUGUCAUGUAAUACGGGCAUACCAAAGGGAGCUUGGGAAAAAGAAGUAAGUAUAACCAAUAUCGAGGUGGCACCCAAAGCUGAGGACUAUCUAAUCCAGUCCAAGGUGGAAGAGAAGGACAGGCAGAGUUGUCGAGGGAGUGGAUGCUUAGGAGACAGUCAUGGAAGAAAUGCUGAGAUACGGGAUCGAGAAGGUGGUGAUAUUGUAGAUAUUCUUCCGCAUUUACCGUUGGAGCCCUGCCGUGCUUGGUAACCUGGGAGACUGACUUACAUGAGAAGAACCGUGACUCCCUGGUCUCUGAGAGAAGGUCUAAGGUGGCCCAUGGGGAGAUCUGAUGCAGAUCACAGGGCAGGAAGAGAGUGAGGACAUGGCAUCGAUUCUCCUAGCUGCCUCACUUCUGUGUUGUCCCAGGUUCUCCACAACCCUAUGUGAAGUCCACAGCUUGUAACAGGGUGUGAUCCCAGCUCCCAUAUCUUGUCCCCCAGAAUUGUCACCACAUUCCUCUAGCCCCAGUGGACUCAGCAUUUCUUCUUCAUUUCCUGUACCUUGCUUCAUCUUUCUC